rnacentral:rRNA from 1 species
GAUGAACGCUGGCGGCGUGCCUAAUACAUGCAAGUCGAGCGAACAGACGAGGAGCUUGCUCCUCUGACGUUAGCGGCGGACGGGUGAGUAACACGUGGAUAACCUACCUAUAAGACUGGGAUAACUUCGGGAAACCGGAGCUAAUACCGGAUAAUAUAUUGAACCGCAUGGUUCAAUAGUGAAAGACGGUUUUGCUGUCACUUAUAGAUGGAUCCGCGCCGCAUUAGCUAGUUGGUAAGGUAACGGCUUACCAAGGCGACGAUGCGUAGCCGACCUGAGAGGGUGAUCGGCCACACUGGAACUGAGACACGGUCCAGACUCCUACGGGAGGCAGCAGUAGGGAAUCUUCCGCAAUGGGCGAAAGCCUGACGGAGCAACGCCGCGUAAGUGAUGAAGGUCUUCGGAUCGUAAAACUCUGUUAUUAGGGAAGAACAAAUGUGUAAGUAACUAUGCACGUCUUGACGGUACCUAAUCAGAAAGCCACGGCUAACUACGUG